rnacentral:rRNA from 1 species
AGAGUUUGAUCAUGGCUCAGGAUGAACGCUGGCGGCGUGCUUAACACAUGCAAGUCGAACGGGAAACCUUUUAUUGAAGCUUCGGCAGAUUUAGCUGGUUUCUAGUGGCGGACGGGUGAGUAACGCGUGGGUAACCUGCCUUAUACAGGGGGAUAACAGUCAGAAAUGGCUGCUAAUACCGCAUAAGCGCACAGAGCUGCAUGGCUCAGUGUGAAAAACUCCGGUGGUAUAAGAUGGACCCGCGUUGGAUUAGCUAGUUGGUGGGGUAACGGCCUACCAAGGCGACGAUCCAUAGCCGGCCUGAGAGGGUGAACGGCCACAUUGGGACUGAGACACGGCCCAGACUCCUACGGGAGGCAGCAGUGGGGAAUAUUGCACAAUGGGGGAAACCCUGAUGCAGCGACGCCGCGUGAAGGAAGAAGUAUCUCGGUAUGUAAACUUCUAUCAGCAGGGAAGAUAGUGACGGUACCUGACUAAGAAGCCCCGGCUAACUACGUGCCAGCAGCCGCGGUAAUACGUAGGGGGCAAGCGUUAUCCGGAUUUACUGGGUGUAAAGGGAGCGUAGACGGUGUGGCAAGUCUGAUGUGAAAGGCAUGGGCUCAACCUGUGGACUGCAUUGGAAACUGUCAUACUUGAGUGCCGGAGGGGUAAGCGGAAUUCCUAGUGUAGCGGUGAAAUGCGUAGAUAUUAGGAGGAACACCAGUGGCGAAGGCGGCUUACUGGACGGUAACUGACGUUGAGGCUCGAAAGCGUGGGGAGCAAACAGGAUUAGAUACCCUGGUAGUCCACGCCGUAAACGACGAAUACUAGGUGUCGGGUGGCAUGGCCAUUCGGUGCCGUCGCACACGCAGUAAGUAUUCCA